GAAAAUCCUCCGGAGACUGCGAGGAGCCAGCUUCUCACCGUAACAGGAGAGGAGCUCUUGAAGAAGACGAGCAAGAGACCGGUAUCUCCAUGCCGACAACAUCCAAACCCAGAGUUGACCCGGAGGAGUUCCUGUGCUCUUCGAUGGCGCUUAGCUACUAAACGCGAUCCCUCGGGAGUUUUAAAGUGAGGCUGUAGCUAGCAAGCUAGAGACAAGGGAACCUACAGCAGAGAGUUGAUGCAAGAUAAGUUUCACUUUAAACAAUUUUCGCUGUUUUUUCUUUGUUUAGUUUGUUUUUCCUUUCGUUUUCAACUGGUUUGUGUUGCACCAUGAUUGGCAGGGGAAAAAAGAGCGUGUAGAUCUGAGAUGAGUUUGGUGAGAACCAAACCAAAACGGAAGGAGCGCUCCUCGUUCUCGCUAAUCUGCUCGGGUAAGUUGUAAGUGAUCUUAUGAUUGGUUACUCAGCAAGAUUUUCGCUUUGGUCGCUCGGUCCCUUCCACUUCUAGCCUGCUACCUUUCUUCCAGAGGAAAAGUUAGAGCUUUCUUGGUUUCUAACCCUCCUAACUUUUCCUCUCUUUUGUUCUUUGCAACAGGAAGACAAUCAUAGGCUCGGCAUUUCUAAAUCCAUCGCAAGCCGAGGAACGCUACGCUCCUUCUUGGAUCCCUAGGAAAAAGCGCAUCAAAGGUACGACUCGAUCAAAACUCUCCUUUUCCGCGACAGACACUGUGAAGCAAAAAGAAGAACUUAGUAGUAGCAAGAACUAAGAGACGAAGAACAGGGUAGGUAGAUAGGAAUUGCCUCGUUGGUAUAUCUCUAGCUGUGGCUACGUAGCACCAUAGCGCUGGCAGCACUGGGACACAGGGAGAGGAUUUCUGGAGAGUGUGACAGACAGUACAGACAGUGUACACACACUACUCAAGUCUGCUGCCGAUAGGAAAGGAUCGAGAAGUGUUGUCACAGCACAGUGGUCGUGGUGGUGGUGGUGGUGGUGAAAGAGCAAAAGGUGGACGAGUAGCGGCACUAGCAAUAGAAUGGGCUGCAAGUUUUGCAGAGGAGGAGAGCGACCGUGCGUGCUCGCUCUGUAGACACAAUAGAGACCGACAGCAGCAGGGACAUAUGGUGACACUUCCUCCUUUUUUUUUUACUGCAUUUUACUGCCGAGCAAACAAGUAAACGACAAGCAGGCAGGGCAGGCAGGUAGAAUCCUCCGGUGUGGGGUUUAGUAAACUAAGAGCCUAUGGAUCGAGAAGGAAAGCCCGGGAAUCAAAGCAGGAAUCAAAGCAAGAAAAGCGAGCCGAGCUUUCCAGAUCCUUCGCGAAGAAACUCAAGUGAUCUUAAAGGAAAAGCUCAAGCUUGGAAAAACCACGAAGAAAGAAGAAGAGAAAGGCAUGGGCUGGAAGAUCCUUCUUUGGGAGGCUAAAACUUCGUGGGAUAGGUGUAGCGGGUCCACGUGCGGCUUUCUGACCGCUCUAUUCUCUAAUUAAAUUCCACAGGUUGCUCACCUUCCAUUGUCAAAUCCUGUUAGAUCAAAACAAAGAAAUGUCACUUACGUAGGGUCUUCGCACUUUGAUAGAAAUCUCCUUGUGUGACAACUUAGAACGAGUGUGGCUUGUUACUUCCAAACUUAUGAAGAAAACUACAUUGGGUAAUGGCAGUUGGUAGAAAUCUCAGUGCUUUGAUUGAUCACACCCAAGAAAUGUUACAUAUGAAGAAAAUUACAUUGGGC